rnacentral:lncRNA from 1 species
CGGACCUAGUUCGCGGUGACAUGGCCAAACCUACCAAGAAAGUCGGGAUCGUCGGUAAAUACGGGACCCGCUAUGGGGCCUCCCUCUGGAAAAUGGUGAAGAAAGUUGAAAUCAGCCAGCAGGCCAAGUACACUUGCUCUUUCUGUGGCAAAACCAAGAUGAAGAGAUGAGCUGCGGGGAUCUGGCACUGUGGUUCCCGCGUGAAGACAGUGGCUGGCGGUGCCUGGACAUACAAUACCACCUCCGCUAUCACGAGUGGCACAAUGAAGAUUUGAACCCACGUAUGUCUCACUGGACGUAUGCCCAGGAACUGGUAAGCUAUAAAAAGACCUCCUUUAUUGUCUGGAGACAUAGAAUUAGUCCAAACGGUGUCACCUCCAGGAAGCCUUACUGUCACUUCCAUGGAGGACAGUGGCCUGGGCCCACACCACCCUCCUGCCUGUCUUCAGCCUUUGCUAGUGGAUCCUUUUCCCACUUCGAAGACUCCCCUUACAUCCUCCUCCAUGUUGUCCUCCAAAUGUGCUG